UGACGAAGUAACGUGUGAAAUUUGUGUUACAAGUAUUUCUUAAUUUUUGUGGUUUCUAAGGAUUGUUCACCUUAAAUUUUGAGUUGUCAUCACCAAUCCAAGCUGCUGAAAGAGAUAUUGGGCAUUUCUUGAAACUGUGUGACGAAUUUUAACACAAAUCACUGAAAUAAUCCUUAGAUCGAAACCUGUAGCUGUGCUUUAGUUAAAUGGUGGAUAUCAUCCCUCAAUCACAGAAUCUUAGUCUAUUGUGCUGUGCCAUCUAUCAUCGAACCACUUUCCAUUUAUCCUUCUUCAUAACUUACACUGACGCGUGUAGCAGGGUUUUAGUUAAAUGAUGGAUAUCAUCCUGCAAUCAGAGAAUCUUAGCGCUCUGUGUAGUGCCAACCAUCAUCUACCAACUUCCCAUUAAUCCUUCUUUGUAACUUCACUGCUGAGCUGACCAUUAUCCAUAGACUACUACCUCAUAUCAUGUAUCAUAUAGCUUCAAAUCUUCAUCAUUGGAUAUCAUCUCAACCAUUCCUCCUUGCUGCCUCAUCGUCAUCGUCCUAGACAUGUGCUGAAGUCCUCAUUCCCGUGCGGCAUGAACAACGUAGCUUCUAAUACCGAUAGCUGUCAUUCCGGAAGGUAUAUGGCUCCAAAACGACCCAAGGCUAUGACACGGAACAUCAUCGCGGAACGUCUUAUUCAUUGUGGUAUUGUUUUGUUUUUUGUUUGUGUGAGUUAACCCUUUGGC